GGGGUUAAGUGACUUGCCUAGGGUCACACAGCUAGUAAGUGUCAAGUGUCUGAGGCCGGAUUUGAACUCAGGUCCUCCUGACUCCAGGGCCGGUGCUCUAUGUACUGUGCCACCUAGCUACCCCCUCAACUCUACAAUGUUAUUGAUGAUUAUGCCCUGCCAAGCCUCAGCCUUGGAUCACUCCCACCAUGCACUGCUUUUGCUCUUACACACAUGCUGGUGAAUGAAGGUAGAGAAAAUUAUGUAACCAUUCUGCCCAGGACCACUACAGAUGUAUGUCAUACAAUGUGAACUGGGCCCUCAUCACUACUGGCAAUCCUACCAUAUCUCCCAUAUCAACUCACUAUCCCACUCUCCCUAACAACUCUUUAUCUCUCCUCAAACCUUCCAUGACUCCUCCACUACCCACCCAGAAAAAACCCAUUCUCUGUGAUCUUCUUGUCACUAUCUUCCCUUACCCCUGUCUCCCAUGUUGUGGUGACCUUAUUCCUUAUCAAGGCUCUCUUCUACUUAUUCCCAUUUCAUCCUCUUCAACAGAUAUACCUCUCUGUUAUCUCCUCUCUUUCAUCUGUUUUCAGUCUCUCCCUUUCUACCAGCUCAUUCCCAACUGCCUAUGAUCAUGCUCAUGUCUUCUCCAUUCUGGAAAAAAAAACAAAACAACCUUCACUUGAUCUAUUGCUCUACACCAACUGUCAUCCUACAUCUCUUCUGCCCUUUGGAGCUAAAUUCCUUGAAAAAGCCAUGUCUCUAUUUUCUCUCUUUUUCUUCUUUUUAACCCCUUACAAUUUGGCUUCUGGUCUUAUCAUUCCAUUGACACUGCUCUCUCCAAAGACACCAGUGGUCUCUAGGUUGCCUGAAGAAUGGCCUUUUCUCAACCCUCAUUCUCCUUGACUUCUCUGCAGCUUUUAACACUGUUGAUCAUUUUCUCAUCUCUCCUCGAUAAACUUUUUUCAUGUUGAUUUUACCUGCUCCCUUGGAUUUGAUUAGCAUUUCCAUGCUGAUGAUUCUCAAUUCUACCUACUCUCCACUGACCUCUAAUCUCGUAUUUCCAAAUGCCUUUCUAACAACUCAAACUGGAUGUCCAGUUGAAAUCUUUUUGUUGUUGUUGUUGUUUUGUUUUGUUUUGUUUUUGCAGGGCAAUGGGGGUUAAGCGACUUGCCCAGGGUCAUACAGCUAGUAAGUGUCAAGUGUCUGAAGCCAGAUUUGAACUCAGGUACUCCUGAAUCCAGGGCCAGUGCUUUAUCCACUGUGCCACCUAGCCUCCCCCCCUUGAAAUCUUAAAUUCAGCGUGUUCAAAACAAAUUCAUUCUUCCCUUCUAUAUCCUCCUCCCCCACCCCCCAUCCAACCUCAUCUAUAACUAUAGAUGACAACACCAUUCUCCCAGUCCCUCAAGUAUACAACCUAGGAGUUAUCUUCAACUCUUCACUGUUUUUCACUCCUCAUAUUUAAGCUGUUGCCAAGGCCUGUUGAUGUCACCUUUGCAACAUCUCUGAAAUGUGUCCCCUUCUCUCCUCUGAUACUGCCAUCACUCUAGUACAGGCCUUCAUCUUUUUAUGCCUAGACCACUGCAAAAGCUUGCUGAUGGUUCUGCCUGCCUCAAGCCUCUCCCCACUCCUAUCCAUCCUCCAUUCAGCCCCAAAGAGAUUUUGCUAAAAUGGAGUUAUGAUCAUAUCACCUCCUACACAAUAAACUCCAGUGGCUCCCUAUUACCUUUAGGAUAAAAUACAAAAUGCUGUGUUUGGCAUUCAAAGCUCUUCAUAAUGUAGCCCCUUCCUAACUUUCCAUUCUUCUUACACUUUAAUCUCAUUUGUGUACUCUUUAAUUCAGUGACACUGGUUUGUUCCAUGAACAAGAUAAUCUGUCAGCUCCCAUCAUUUUUUCAGCUGUCCCCCAUGUGUGGAGUACUCUCCCUCCAUUACUCUGCCUACCAAUUUCCAUGGCUUCCUUUAAGUUUCAGCUUAAAUUCUAUCAUUUAUAGGAAGCUCUUUCCAACCCCUUUUAAUAAUAGUGCCUUCUCUAGUUAAUUAUUUCCUAUUUAUCCUGUAUUUAUCCUGUGUAUAUUUGUUUGCAUGUUGCUUCCUCCAUUAGAGUGUAAGCUCCUUGAGGGCAGAGGUUGUCUUUUAUCUCUUUUUGUAUCCCAAGCACUUAGAAUAAUGCCUGGUACAUAACAGGUACCUAAUAAAUGCUUGAUUGAAAUUAAUUGAUUGAUUGUAAUGACCCCUGUACACUCAGAUUGAAGAACUAGGGAAGGAGAGAUGGGUAUAUAAGGAGAGGAGAAUAAAGGGCCAAGUCCUCAAGUGUGUUAUGUAUGUAUUUUACACUCUACCUGAUUCUGGUCACUUUGUAUUGAGCUGUAUUGAACUAUAUUUUAGGAGUUUUAAUGAUCAUUUAGUUCAAAGUACUCCUCAGUUUCCUCAUCUAUAAAAUGGGGAUAAUAAUGCAUUACUUAACCUCACAGGGCCAUGACAAGGAAAGGACUUUCAAAGCCUUACAAGUCUGUACAGAUGUGAGGAUGGCUAGUUUGGUAAUCUUGGGCAAGAAACAACCUUCCAUGGUAAAUAAGUUACCUGUGAGUACCCAUGGAGUCACUCUAUCCUUAUGGUUGGGAGUAUUGUUCGUUCAUACCACACAAAGGCAGCAUGAUUGACACCUCUGUUCUAGACCACCGGCAUGAGAGGAGAAAGGAAAAGCCUGGAAAAGAUUCAUCUCAGCCCCUAUCCAUCAGUAAGGAGGGAGCAAAAAGGAUUAAGCAAAAGCCCCCCAACCUUAUCUUCCAUAGCAAUAUCUACACUUGCAAGUAUUCCACCUUUAAAAAUAUUAAAAUCUGAAAAGAAUAAGAUCAGGUACCUUUCACAGGUAGAGAAUGAAUUCUUAAUCAAACAAAGGAAAGAAACAUAUAAUAGAUAAUUUCAGUUACAUGAAAUUGAAAAGUUUUUUUAUGAAUGUAAAGGAACUAGGAUUAGAAGGAAAAUCAAAUAAGAAAAAAAUCUUUAUCAUAUAUUUAUAUAUAUAUAUAUAUAUUAUGUGUCUGAUAUCUAAGAUAUGUAAGCAAAUAAUAGAAACAUGUAUAACCAAAAGCUAUUUUCCAGUAGAUAAGUGGUCAAAGAAUAUGAGCAAAUCAUUCUCAAAAGAAUUAUAAACUAUUAAAAUCACAUAAAGGAAAAAAUAGACAAAAUAAUUCUGAGGUUUCACCUCAAAUCCAAUACAUUGGCAAAAUUGACAAAAUGUGGGAAUACUGAGUUUUGGAGUGGUUGUAUAAAGAUAGGACACAAAUGCAUAGUUGGUGAAACUGAAUUGGUCCAACCAUUUUGAAAAGCAGUUUUGAAUUAUGCUAAGAAAGUCACUAAAAUGUCUAUUACCUCUGAACCAGAGAUCCCCCUCCUCUGUAUAUAUUCCAGGUUAUAAAAAAUAAAAAGAAAGGUCCCAUUUUUAUGAUGUUUAUGAGAACUUCUUUUUGUAAUAGCAAAGAAUUGGAAACAAAGUUAAUGUUCAUAAAUUGGGAAAUGACUAAGCAAUAUUUUGUACAUGAAUUAAUGGAAUAUUACUUCAUUAUAAGAAACAGUGAAAAUUAUGAAUAUUACGAAGACUGGGAAGACUUACAUAAAUAUAUAAAAUGAAGAAAGCACAAACAGGAAAACAAUGUAAGUAAUAACCUCAAAAGUAUAAGUGGAAAGAAAAAUAACAAAACUGGAAGUGAAUCUAUCAAAUUAUAACAAACAAGCUUGACCCCAAAGAAGAACCAUGAAAAGACUCCUCCAACGCCUCCUUUCCAUAGAUGGGGCUCUAUGCAUAUAAAACAGUGCAUAUAAUAAAAUGCUUUAUGUUUUUUGUUGGCUUUGCUGGGCUUGUUCCCUCCCCCUUUUAUUCUUUGUUAUAGGGGAUGGAUUUUAUAAAAGGGGAGGAAAAAAUACACUUGAAAAUGUAAAUAUGUGAAAACAAAAGAUAACAGUUAAAAUCUAUUUUUUUAAAAAUGAAAGAGUGCUUGAGCUUGGGCCAAAAAAGAUUUCAUGCUGCCCUUCACCUUCCUGCUAGCAACUGCUGUGCUUUAAUCAAAGAUGAAAUCAAAGAAUCAGAAAUCUCCAUUGUAUAUAUACUAGAACUAUAUGAAAGGUGUCCUGGAACAAUGAUAUAAUUAACAGGGUUGUCCACUGGAUAGAGGAACUAAAAGAAUACUCCUGCUUUUGAUUCAACAUACUGCAGAGAAGCCUAAUUUCAGUCUAAAAGUUACACGUCAAAAAUUCUCCCUCUGAGGACAGAGAGGGUUUCUGCUUUUUGUUCCUAUCUCCUUUUAGGGCCUAAUCUUCAAAAGUUAAGAGGUUGCUGUGGAUAUACACUCCACCACUGAGUACACCAACCACCAUUGGAGAAUACCAACUACCAUUACUAUCAUUGUUACAAUAGGUAUAUGGUUUUAAAAUGAGUUAUUGGCUAGCCAGGGGAAGAAGUUCAUGCUACAGAAACUGGCCAUUUAUGACAGUACAAUUGAAAAAAAUGUAAUGUAUUAAAUAUCUUCUUAUUCCAGAGUCAGCCUAUUUUAUCUCCCCAUUAUCAUUAUAGGCAUACCUCUCAUGGAUAUUCCCUCUAAUGGUAUAGAUCACAAUCCACCCAAGUCUUCUAAUCUGAGGCAACAUAUCUGUGUUGUAAAGAUCCUUCACUGGGAGUUCACCUAACAUUCAAGGGAUCUCGCUAUAAAGGACAGCAUUGUAAGAAGAGAGUCCUGGGUAUCUCCUAUGAGAUAUGUUGAGGCCAGUGUAUUCCUGUGCAUAUAGGCAUUUGUUCUUUGUCUUGGUGUUCUUUUUGUUUUAGGUGAAGGAGAUUAAUCUAGAAACAAAGACCAUAAUGGCUUCAGAAUACCAUUUUUUAAAAAGUCAAUGAUGUCCAAGAGUUAAGGAAUUAAAUACAUGAUAGAUUUUACAGCCAGCCAAGAACCACUAUCCCAAUAAUCAUCCUUUCGGACCCAGGAGUAGCUGAGAUGAAGACUCAUUUGCAGCAAUGUCACAUUUGGACCUGUACCUACAUUAUUGUCUGAACCCUCUCUUCUCAGAGGCUGAGGUAGUAUAGGUGAGAGAGAGUCCCAAAGGUGUUUAGGGGGGAAAUUUUUGUACUUUUAUUAUUGCUAUAUCUUUGAAAACAUUAGUUUUACAAAAGUUCAUUGAUAUUAAUUCUUUCAAUGGAACUAAAGUUCUAGUUGGCUAAUAAUGUGCGGAACAUACCCAAAAUGGAAACUCAAACUGAUAUUAGAGAAAGAUCCCCCACAACCUCUUAUGGGUAUUCCUAGAACAUUGGGAGGAGAGAUAUAGCUGCCUUCCAUCUGGGAGACAUAAAUCACCAGAAGCCAUUUCAUUCACUCUCCUAACAUCAAUGACAACAAUAACCAACUCUCUGCAUUUGUUUCUGUUUCUUUCUUUCUGAACUGAUUCUCUCUCUCUCUCUCUGUCUUUAUCUAUCGUCUAUCUAUUAUAAAGUCACAUAUACAUACACAUAUGCAAAGGAGUUGGAAUAGAUCUCUAAAAUCCCCUCCAGCUCUAAUUUAUGAAUCUAUAAACCUAGCUCACUUUAGAGGAUUUUGGUUCACUCCUUAGUUGGGUAGUAACUUCCCCCUAGGAAAUAGCAUGUGAAGCCUUGAAGUACAGCCCUUCAGCAACAUUGAAAGACCCCCAUUGAAAGUGCUUUUUCAGUAGAAGCUUAAAUGACUAGUGAUGAAAUACUAAGGGAUGAAGUACUUCAUUCAUGCCUGCACCACACUCCAAGCAUUAGGAAUACAAAUGCUGUGUGUGAGAAAAUGCCAAACUCAAAGAAAAGCAUUUUGGCUUUAUGUGGAGGGGCCGACUAUUGGAAAAUUAUAAGGGGAAAUUUCUGCCUAUCUAUAUGUUUUUGCCUUUUUAGUAUAUACUCUAGGCAAUUAGGGACAUGUUUAAAGAACUAAUUCUUUACACCCCUAAGAAUAUGAAGGAUUUCUAAAACACCAUGGUGGAAGAGGGGCAAGGGAGAACAAUGAAAGAAAAAGGCCAAGUUGUCUAUCUUUUAUCUAUACCAAUUUAAGGCAUACUGCUGAGCUUUAUUCUUACACAAAUCCAAGAUUCUGGGCUAGGAUACCCUACAUACCUUUAUUAUCUUUAAACUGAACCUAGUCAUGCCUUCACUCCUUUCCUGUGAAGAAUUUCUGGGAGGACAUAAAGAAGAAUCAUAAAGGAUAAGAUUGUGAUCUGCAUCUUUGGAAAGGUCACCCACAGGAGUAAGCCCACUGAUCCAAUUUGGUGUUAAAGAGUGUCUUGGCACUCAAAAUAUAUGGUUAGGUUGGGGCUACUUCUUCCUUUGUAUUUCCUGUAGUUAUAGCAUACAGCAAGUGGUUGGUCCAGUAAAAACUGUUAUUGACUAUGUAGUAUAUUGGCUAAACAUUUCAGGUUAUUAGAGAUACCAGAUGUCUCUAAUACCAUACAAACCACCCAUUAAAAAGAUAUGUGAAAUAUAAUCAAUGUUCUUAGCACUGUAGUGAUUUUGAACAUGUUAAUCUUUGAUGAUUCAAAUGUCUUUUGGGUUAUCACUAUGAGUGUCUACCUACAAUUAAACUGUAGUUAUAAAGCAUUGCUGCUUAACAGAACUUGGUCACCAUAUCCCAACUCAUCCUCUCCCUUUUCAGCUUCUUUUUAUGUAUUAUCUCCUCCUGUCGGUCUUUCUGCUUGUAUUUGUGUUCUCAGAACUUAGCACAGUUCCUGGCACAUAG